UACGUAGGUGGCAAGCGUUGUCCGGAUUUACUGGGCGUAAAGAGCGCGCAGGCGGUGCGAUCAGCGAAUGUGAAAGCCCCCGGCUCAACUGGGGAGGGUCAUUCGAUACUGUCGGACUCGAAGGCAGGAGAGGGAAGCGGAAUUCCCGGUGUAGUGGUGAAAUGCGUAGAUAUCGGGAGGAACACCAGUGGCGAAGGCGGCUUCCUGGCCUGUUCUUGACGCUGAGGCGCGAAAGCUAGGGGAGCAA
rnacentral:rRNA from 1 species